GGGCUCGCGCAUCAUGGCGCCUGGAUGGGAGGGGGGGGUUGCGAUCAAGGGUGAGACAAGAGUCGACGGGUUUUACUCCUUCUGUUGGAAAGCAGACUGUUGCUUCUCUUCCCUGUCGAUGCAAACUCCAACCACCGAGCAAGCAUAAGUCUGUGGAAGGAAACGGAGCUCACAGGCGUCCACAGGAGACGCAGCCAGGACAGACCUGAGAUAUGGUGACAAAGUGGCAGAUGCAGAGGAAGAGAGUGGGAGAAAGAGAGAGAUUACCCGUGGAGCAGGAAAACAUGCAGGGGGAGGAAGGGGAAAGGAACUUUUUUUUUUUUCCCUCCUCAGAAUCAUACUUCCUGUUCAUUAUUGCUUUGGGUUGGUUUCCAGGCCUUGCAGCUUCAUUUCCAGAAAUGCGAGUGAUUGUGACAGUUUGGAGCACUCAUGUAAGUUACGCAACUGAAAUAAUUGUGUCUGGCCCCAACGAAUAAAGAAGAAUUACAGAGAAAACAUCUUUUCGAUCUUCUGCUCUUUGUUCUCUGGGCUUUGCUUAAUAGACCUUUAAAUGCAAUUUUAAUGUCGUCUUAAUGUUUUAUUUUUUUUAUGCAUUUCAAUGCCUCUGUAUAGCACUUUGAAUUGCAUGAUGCCACAAAUACAUUUAUCGUGCCUUGCACAAAAUAAUCAUUUAAAAAAGUUAUAAUUUUGUGAGGCUUAACCCGGCAAAAUUACCAGUAUGAAUCUUUUCCCACGUAAGACUUGACAAGUUAAGUGGAGGCCUGCGUCAAUAACAGUGUUUGUUGUUGGUGUUGCCUUAGAAAAUAAUGUCUUCAGCACGCCAUUGCUGUUAAACUGUUAAACAGGCUAAAGCUGUGGAAAUAAAACUGUGUUGGAUUUCAA